UGAAGGCUCCCUUUUAUUUUUUCUUUUUAUGAAAUAUGCAGGGAUUAGGAUGUGUGAUUCUUGGUGGCGAAGAAUCCAAAUAGUAACUGAGUCAGCUGGCUCGUAUUCCCAUGAGCUGCAGCUGUGUCACACCCCAAGGAGGCUCCUGUGUGAUUUGGGGUUUCCAGUUCCCACCCAGCUCCACCUCUAGGUGAGAUCCCUCCUGCAAGGCAGGCCCUACUGACCAAAUGCUCCACCUGGUGAUGGGUCUGGUCCUGAAGAAGGAGAGAGCAGCCAGUGCCCCUUCUCUUGGUGGUCUCAGAGCUUGAGGAUCAUUGUUUAAGCCCAUGCACAGGUGCAAAGAAGGGAUUUUCAAGGGAGAUGCAAAGCAUUAAAUUCAGCUACUAGACGUGUAUGCCAGGCUAGCUUGGCUCUAACUCUCUUGUGGUCAGAGGGUCGUUGUUUCUUGAUAAAGCAAAUAUUUUGUUAUGGAUUAGGCAUUCUGUUAGUGAUAACAACAGUGAUUUGAAUGGGGCUUUGUUAGUACUGGAGUGUAACAGGAGGGGAAAGGCGACUGCUGCAGAGAGGAAACUUCAUUUUCAUAGCAAAAUGUGGCUACUGCAAGGUCAUAUGGGGAAAACAGCUCUAUCAGCUCUAAAAAAAGACCAGGGACGAGCUGACAUGAGAGGGAAAUUACCCAUUCAGCACAUCAGGUUUCCUCCCUUGCCACUCAGAAACUGCUGUAGCGAAGUGACCUGGACCACUGAAGAAAUUGAGUGUCUUGUUUGUUCUAAACUACCAGGAAAAACUCCUUGCCUCCCUUUGACAGUGAAGACUCAUGCUGAGAGAUCUACUGGUUUUUCAAACACCAGCUCCCAGCGACUCAACCAGCGCUCUUCCUAG
rnacentral:lncRNA from 1 species